UACGGAGGUGGCAAGCGUUGCUCGGAAUCACUGGGCGUAAAGGGUGCGUAGGCGGCGCGGUAAGUCGGGUGUGAAAUCUCGGAGCUUAACUCCGAAACUGCAUUCGAUACUGCCGUGCUUGAGGACUGGAGAGGAGACUGGAAUUUACGGUGUAGCGGUGAAAUGCGUAGAUAUCGUAAGGAAGACCAGUGGCGAAGGCGGGUCUCUGGGCCGAUACUGACGCUGAGGAGCGAAAGCGUGGGGAGCGAACAGG
rnacentral:rRNA from 1 species